UGUGGCCCUGAAGAGGCUAGUUAACCUCUUGAUAUCUGUGCUUCCCUUGUGUUAAGUAGGACUCACAGCCUGUGUGAUGUAAGGCAGUAUGCAGAUGAAUUAUUGAAGACGAGAUGAUCUACAAUCUGCCCUCACAUACUAUUUUGAAGAUUCCCAUCCAUUAUUCAUCACCCAAUGCAUUUUACCUUGCACUAUUAGACUACAGAUCACUGCAGUGUAUUUGUGGAAAAGUGCAAUAAACAAAAUAUUGCUAGUGAUACCGAUAAAACCAAAGUCCCCAAUGAAGUGCUUAUUUUAACUGAAAAGAGCAAUGAUUACUAACGUGGAGAGUGUUUAACGUGUGGCCAAGGCAGUUGAAAGAUACUUCACUGUUCAUUUUCAGAGCAAUAUUGUGAAGGAAACCUCUUGUUAAAAGUUACACAACAGCACAAAAACAACAACAGCACAAUAGACAACAGGGCCUCCCCCUAGCCAACAAUGACAAACUCAUCCUCGAAAGCUUCCAAAAGCAAAGACUCAGCAAAUCAUGGAUCCAAAGUUUGCUGACUACAAGGUUUGGAUGCCAAACUAUGCUUAUGUUAAGUUUUCAGACUUCUGGAUUAGUUUUUCUGAAGAAUCCAUUGGCAACUAGUUGCUAGUUCUUCACCAUAUGACUGCAAUUGUGUUCCAUAACCUUCCAGUUCCUAUCAUCUUGUCCAUCAAACAACUUCAUGGUCCAUGAAAAUCAACUAUAAUAAUACAUUUUGUGGAGUCAAAUACAAGAUUUGAAAACUCAGUCCUACUUGGGUUGUCUUCAUCAAGUCCCCAGCCUUCCAACUCCACCCCCCCACACACAUGCAAGGCCCAGGGAACGUUGUAAAAAGAAGUGGAAAAAUUGUAGGAGCCAGAGGGAGAGAGAAUGGAUGAUGCCAAGGACACAAGGCCUUCCAGAUGCCAGAAGACUGUCACACAUGUGUGUCAGCGUGGAUGGGCCUGUACAGGUUCAAGCCUGAUGUGCCCCAAUGUUGACAAAAGGGGGAAAUAGACACAAGCUCCCAUUCCUAAUGAUAAAGCUAUCUGCAAUUGAUAUUUGCUUGCAUAUGAAAAAUUAGUCUGCUUUACUGGAGGUAUAUUAACCACACGUAGGUGGGUCUAUACGUAGCAGUAGAUGACCAACAUAAAAUAAAUUCCUAGACAUUUGUCUCAUGUUGCUGUGGGCAUUUUACGGUUUCUUAUUUUGUGUUUUAUGGUGUUUGUGUGUAUGCGUGUGCCAUGUGUGUAUGUGUGUAUGCUUCUGUGCAUAUGUGCUUUUGUGUUUCCUAGGCUUUUUCUGUUCUCUUUAUCUCAUUUCUUACUCUGGUUUGUUUGUUUUUCUUUUGGUGGCCUGUUUAUUUUGUAAAGAGAGAGAAAAAGGGAGUGGAAUUGGAUGGAAUGGGA